rnacentral:rRNA from 1 species
UGGGGAAUAUUGGACAAUGGGCGCAAGCCUGAUCCAGCCAUGCCGCGUGAGUGACGAAGGUCUUCGGAUUGUAAAGCUCUUUUGGCGGGGAAGAUAAUGGCGGUACCCGCAGAAUAAGCUCCGGCUAACUUCGUGCCAGCAGCCGCGGUAAUACGUAGGGACCAAGCGUUGUUCGGAUUUACUGGGCGUAAAGGGCGCGUAGGCGGCAAUUCAAGUCAUCUGUGAAAUCUCCGGGCUUAACUCGGAACGGUCAGAUGAUACUGCUUUGCUAGAGUGCAGAAGGGGCAAUCGGAAUUCUUGGUGUAGCGGUGAAAUGCGUAGAUAUCAAGAGGAACACCUGAGGUGAAGACGGGUUGCUGGGCUGACACUGACGCUGAGGCGCGAAAGCCAGGGGAGCAAACGGGAUUAGAUACCCAAGUAGUCCCUGAGCGGGCUGGCAAGGCGCAU